ensembl:lncRNA
ACCGACACCGACACCGACACCGGCACUGGCACCGACACCGACACCGACACCGGCACCGGCACCCGCCGGGGUUUGGGACGGCACAGGACGUACCGGGCCGGGCGGUUCGGGACGGUAUGGUACAGUAACGGGACGGUACGGUGGGGCACGGCACUGCACGGCACGGUACAGUCUGUCAUGGCACGGUGUGGCACGGCUGUGGGAUAUGGCUCAGGACUGUCUGGCACAGCUUGGGACAGAAUGGGAUGGGCAGUAGAGUGUGGCGUGGCACAGUAUGGUAUGGCUCAGAAUGGCCCAGCUUGGCAUGGCACGACACAGCUCGGCUCUGCAUGGCUCAGCAGGGCACGUCAGAGCUCGGCAGCAUGGCUCAGAACGGUACAGAGCAGCUCGGUACCGAUGGCAUGGCUUGGCAUGGCAUGGCACGGUACAGCACAGCGUGGCACGGCAUGGCAUGGCACAGCACAGCUGCAGGGCUGGGAGCAGGGAGUGGUUGCACUGGCUUAGCUGGGUGCAGAGUGCAGGGUUCAGGGCACACAGCUGGGCACAGGGCUCAGGCGUGGAUUGCAGGGCAUGCGAUGGGGGCGGUGCCCAGCAUGGGCACAGAGCAGCACUGGGUGACACACCCGAGGGACACGAGACACCCCCUGUGCCCCAAGAGGAGCAGGGUGGCCGUGGUGCGUGGCUCAGCCCCAGCCCUGGCUCUUGCCCCGUUGAGCCCACAUGCCACACAUGGGGCAGCACGUGCAGGGACACGGUGGCCUUGGCACCAGGGUCACCUGGGGACACAGGAGCAGGAAUCAGGGAGGAGCACAGGAUGGCAGUGCCCAUGGGACUCCUGCCUCGAGGAACCUGCCUUGUGGGGUGAUGGGGGAACCCUGGGGCACUCAGCUGGGAUGAGGAGCUGGCACAGGGAAGGGGCCAGGCUGCGAUAGGAAAACUUCCUGGAGGGAAGGACAAGAGUUCCAGUGCCAGAGUGAGGUUUGGGCAUGGCCAGGAGCAGCAGGAGCUGGAUGAAGGUGCCAGGAUGUGCUGGAGUCUCUAGGCAGACAAUAUCCCAUGGGAAUACGGUGUGGGGUUGGCAUCCCACAGCCACUGGGAAAGUCUGACACGAGAGCAGGAUCACCGUUGGGCACCAGCUGGUCCCUUCAGACACAUGGCAGGAUUGUCCUGACUGAGCAGAAAGGACAACCAGUGCAUGGGAAAGGUCAGAGGGAGCAAAUGAACCCUCUUGUCAUGAUGAGCUUCCCAUUUCCAUGAUGGAAGGGGAGUAAAACCCUGUCUCAGCUCCAUUAACCAAUGAGCAUAAACUGGGAUCAAUCCCAGAGCUGUGCUGGCAGGGUGGGACAGGGACGGAGCUGACACACGGCUGCUGUUCUGUCCCACACGGCCAAAGAGCUGCUCCAGGGCUGGAGACAUCUGUCAAAGAAGCUGGGAUGGAGCAGAAAAGCCUUUCAGCGCCCAUCCCAGAAAACCUGAACAGUGCCAGGGAUGAAACUGGGAUCAUGGAACUGGGAUACCGGGAAACACAGCCCUGCGUGGUGCGCUGGGGUUUGGGAAAGGGGAGAAGGGAUAUGUGUGAUCCAAGGUGUCCGUGCAUCUCUGGGAAUGCUGAAAUGCACCGUGGGCGGGUGGGACCAUGCUGCGGGGGGUUCUGAGCACGGUGCCAGCUUCAUCUCCAGCCAGAUCCGCAGGGAUCCUGCCCAGCUGCAGCCCCCGGCCGCGGUGCCGCUGUCUGGGUCCGGAUUGAGAGGUUCGGAUGGCCGGUUUCCCCGGGGAUCAGCCGCUUGGAGCCUGUUUGGAACCGGGAGCAGCCCACGGGAGCCGGGCCGUGCCGGGCCGUGCCGUGCCAGCUUUCCAGCGCCUCCGGACACAGCCGGGGCGGCACCGGCGGGGAUGGGAGCGGGAGGACGGGCGGCGUUUGAAGGAAAAGCCACCCUGCAGGAUUCAUGGCAAGGCAUUUGCAUGAUAAAGCACGGAGCUCUUUGCUUUGGGUAAAUCUGUAAUUAAUGCUGAAUCGUUGUGUAAUUAAAAGCUACCGGCAUGGAAAA